UCGCUGUGUGUUAUAUGUGUCACACGGGACUGCCGGUCUUAAAGCCGGAGGAAGUGGGAGUGAUGUCAAGUCAGCAUGGCCUUUAUAUCCUGGGCUACACACACGCUACAAUGGCCAACACAAUAGGUUGCUAAGCCGCGAGGUGGCGCCAAUCCAUAAAGUUGGUCUCAGUUCAGAUUGUAGGCUGCAACCCGCCUGCAUGAAGAUGGAGUUGCUAGUAACCGCAGGUCAGCUAUACUGCGGUGAAUACGUUCCCGGGCUU
rnacentral:rRNA from 1 species